CAAUCCGGAUCUCAGAUCAAGCAAGAUUACCCGCUGAAUUUAAGCAUAUAAUUAAGCGGAGGAAAAGAAACUAACUAGGAUUCCCUCAGUAACGGCGAGUGAAGCGGGACUAGCUCAGGAUGUGAAUCUGCGCUUUAAUGGCGCCGAAUUGUGGUCUAUAGACCUUGACGUUAUCUGCCGGGCCAAGUUCCUUGGAAAAGGACAGCUGAGAGGGUGAGACUCCCGUCCGCCUGGUAGAGUGAGUCAUGUGUCAACGAGUCGAGUUGUUUGGGAUUGCAGCUCUAAUUUGGUGGUAAAUUCCAUCUAAAGCUAAAUAUUGGUGGGAGACCGAUAGCGUACAAGUACCGUGAGGGAAAGAUGCAAAGAACUUUGAAAAGAGAGUUAAAGAGUACCUGAAAUUGCUGAAACGGAAGCGAAGGAAACCAGUGUUUGUUGGUUCAUAUUUCCCUGGCCACUUGUGGUUUGGGCGCUGUGAGCUUGCGUGUGUUUGUCUUGGUUGAUCCCUUUGGAAGAGCGCAGUCAGAGUUGAUGUCUGUUGCUAGCACUGGGUUUGACUGAUGCAGACGAAAUGGUUUUCUUUACCCCGUCUUGAAACACGGACCAAGGAGUCUAACAUAUGUGCGAGUACAGGGGUGUCAAACCCCGGUGCGUAAUGAAAGUGACAGUGGUUGGAUAUUUUGCACAAUCCGCCGGCCUCAAUCCUUCGGGAGAACGGUCUGAGUGUGAGCAUACAUGUUGGGACCCGAAAGAUGGUGAACUAUGCCUGAAUAGGGUGAAGCCAGGGGAAACUCUGGUGGAGGCUCGUAGCGAUUCUGACGUGCAAAUCGUU
rnacentral:rRNA from 1 species